rnacentral:rRNA from 1 species
AAUAAUUUAUUUGAUGGUUCCUUACUACAUGGAUAACUGUAGUAAUUCUAGAGCUAAUACAUGCGUAAAGUCUCGACCUCACGGAAGGGAUGUAUUUAUUAGAUAAAAAACCAAUGCGGGUUCUGCCCGGUUUUGUGGUGAAUCAUAGUAACUUUUCGAAUCGCAUGGCUUCACGCCGGCGAUAGUUCAUUCAAAUUUCUGCCCUAUCAGCUUUCGACGGUAGUGUAGUGGACUACCGUGGCGUUAACGGGUAACGGGGAAUUAGGGUUCGAUUCCGGAGAGGGAGCCUGAGAAACGGCUACCACA